rnacentral:rRNA from 1 species
UAAAUGGAUCAAGAGAACAAGAGCAUCAGGAGGAUGCCUUGGCACCGGAAGCCGAAGAAGGACGUGACAAGCUGCGAAAAGCCGCGCGGAGGAGCUUAAAAUCUUAUGAGACGCGGAUAUCCGAAUGGGGAAACCCAUCUGGCUGGAGGCCAGAUACUGUGAUGUGAAACAGCUUGCUGAUAGCAUCACAGAGGGAACCCGGGGAACUGAAACAUCUAAGUACCCGGAGGAAAAGAAAGCAAACGCGAUUCCUCAAGUAGCGGCGAGCGAACGAGGAACAGCCCAGUAAUGAAAAAGCUUAGGUUAUAGCCGAACAGCUUGGGAAAGCUGACCAUAGGAGGUUAGAGUCCUGUAGGCGAAAUAACUUAAGUGGGAGUUACGAUGAGUACCACGGAACACGUGAAACUUUGUGGGAACAUGGGGGGACCACCCUCCAAGGCUAAAUACUAACCGGUGACCGAUAGCGAAUAGUACCGUGAGGGAAAGGUGAAAAGAACCCCGGAAGGGGAGUGAAAUAGAAACUGAAACCUGAUGCUUACAAGCAGUCGGAGCGCAAGUGACGGCGUGCUUUUUGUAGAACGGGCCAACGAGUUACGGUGUGCAGCGAGGUUAAGCACUUCAGGUGUGGAGCCGAAGGGAAACCGAGUCUUAAUAGGGCGUCUAGUUGUAUGCUGUAGACCCGAAACCGUGUGAUCUAUCCAUGGGCAGGGUGAAGCGCAGGUAAAGCUGUGUGGAAGCCCGAACCAGUGUCUGUUGAAAAAGGCUUGGAUGACCUGUGGAUAGGGGUGAAAUUCCAAUCGAACACGGAGAUAGCUGGUUCUCCCCGAAAUAGCUUUAGGGCUAGCGUUGCAGUAAGACUGACGGAGGUAGAGCACUGACUUGGGUAGGGUGCAAAAUGCAUACUGAACCAUAUCAAACUCCGAAUGCCGUACAGCCAUCUGCAGCAGUCAGACUGUGGGAGAUAAGUUUCAUGGUCAAAAGGGAAACAGCCCAGAUCAUCUGCUAAGGUCCCUAAGUACUGAUUAAGUGGGAAAGGAUGUGCCACUGCAUAAACAACCAGGAUGUUGGCUUAGAAGCAGCCAUUCAUUCAAAGAGUGCGUAACAGCUCACUGGUCGAGUGGCGGUGCGCCGAAAAUGAACGGGGCUCAAAUCAGUCACCGAAGCAAUGGAUUAUACUUUAUAGUAUAGUGGUAGGGGAGCAAUCUCUUGUAGGGCGAAGCGAUAUCGUAAGGUAUCGUGGACGAAAGAGAAGAGAGAAUGUUGGCAUGAGUAGCGAAAGUGAAGUGAGAAUCUUCACCAUCGGAAGCCCAAGGAUUCCUGAGGAAGGCUCGUCCGCUCAGGGUAAGUCGGGACCUAAGCCCAGGCCGAAAGGCGUAGGCGAUGGACAAUCGGUUGAAAUUCCGAUACUGAUCACUUAUGUUUGAGAGAUGGAGUGACACAGGCGGGAAAGCAGACCCGGGCGUUGGUUGACCCGGGCCAAUCAUCGAGGCUGUUCAAGGAGGCAAAUCCCUUUGGACAAGGCUGAGGUGUGAUGGGGAACGAAAAAUAAGUAGGGAAGCUGCAGACUCAUACUGUCAAGAAAAACUUCUAUUGAGUAAGGGAUCACCCGUACCGCAAACCGACACAGGUAGGCAGGAAGAGAAUUCUAAGAUGAGCGGGAGAAGUGUUGUUAAGGAACUCGGCAAAAAUACUCCGUAACUUCGGGAGAAGGAGUGCCCCGAAAGGGGUCGCAGUGACUAGGCUCAAGCGACUGUUUACCAAAAACACAGGUCUCUGCUAAAUCGAAAGAUGAAGUAUAGGGGCUGACGCCUGCCCGGUGCUGGAAGGUUAAGAGGAGUACUUAGCGCAAGCGAAGGUGCGAAUUGAAGCCCCAGUAAACGGCGGCCGUAACUAUAACGGUCCUAAGGUAGCGAAAUUCCUUGUCAGGUAAGUUCUGACCCGCACGAAAGGCGUAACGAUUUGAGCACUGUCUCGACAACACACCCGGUGAAAUUGUAGUACUCGUGAAGAUGCGAGUUACCCGCGACAGGACGGAAAGACCCCGUAGAGCUUUACUGUAGUCUGGCAUUGGAUUUCGAUAUGUCAUGUACAGGAUAGGUGGGAGGCUGAGAAAGUUGUGCGUCAGCAUAGCUGGAGCCGAUGUUGGGAUACCACCCCUGAGAUAUUGGAAUUCUAACAAAGCGCUGUGAAACCAGUCUUCGGACAGUGUCAGAUGGGCAGUUUGACUGGGGCGGUCGCCUCCUAAAAUGUAUCGGAGGCGCCUAAAGUUACCCUCAUGAUGGUUGGAAAUCAUCAAUAAGAGUGCAAAGGCAGAAGGGUGAUUGACUGCGAGACAGACAUGUCGAGCAGGGACGAAAGUCGAGCUUAGUGAUCCGGUGGUACCGAGUGGAAGGGCCAUCGCUCAACGGAUAAAAGCUACCUCGGGGAUAACAGGCUUAUCUCCCCCAAGAGUCCACAUCGACGGGGAGGUUUGGCACCUCGAUGUCGGCUCGUCUCAUCCUGGGGCUGAAGCAGGUCCCAAGGGUUGGGCUGUUCGCCCAUUAAAGAGGCACGCGAGCUGGGUUCAGAACGUCGUGAGACAGUUCGGUCCCUAUCCGUCGUGGGCGUUAGAAAUUUGAGAGGAGCUGUUCCUAGUACGAGAGGACCGGAACGGACGGACCUCUGGUGCACCGGUUGUUCCGCCAGGAGCACAGCCGGGUAGCCAAGUCCGGAAGGGAUAAGUGCUGAAAGCAUCUAAGCACGAAGCCCCCCUUAAGAUAAGAUAUCUCAUCCCUUAAAGGGAGUAAGGCCACUGAUAGACGAUCAGGUGAUAGGCUGGAGGUGAAAGCACAGCAAUGUGUUCAGCUGACCAGUACUAAUCGGCCGAGGUCUUGAUCCAAA